UGAUCCCACUCUUCCCCUGCUCAGAACUGCCUUUAAAGUUGCACUCUGUGGGACGAUAAAGCGUUCUCUCUCUCUGUUGUCUGCUCGAGGUCAAUUUACAUCUAGCCUUUUCAGAGAGAAGCACCUACGCACGCACCAGGAAAAGGACUGCAAGUGGAUCGCUUCUUCAUCAGGAAGAGGGGACAGGAAGUGGUCAGCGUUGGGCUAAUCGGACGGGGCUACUCACCGUUGCCUCGCCACACCUCGGCCAAGUGGCAGCCACUCUCGCCGGGCUCCUUGCAGAACUCCACCACGUCGCGGCAGGACGUCUCCGGGGUGAUGGGCACCUCGGACGCCGCCUGCUCGCCAUCGUUCAGGCCUAGAGGCCCUGUGACAGGCCAUAGAGAGAUAAGGCUGCAGAGCAGAGCAAUGUGGAGAGGACUGGAGCAGUAGACAACAGGAGGCACAAUACUGGAGAAAGAGACGGACUCUGGAGACAGCGUCUGAACUGCAACUCACUCACACCACAACAGACAAAAAAACACAGGCGUAGGAGUGGACCGUGCCCGGCGAACAUCAGGCGUGAGGAGAGACGAGGGACUAGACAGUGGCUGGCAGUAUGUGUCCCAAAUGUCCCGCUGCGGUAUUGAGCCGAGCUCAUGAGAGUGGAUCUCACCAAGAAGAUCUUAUGCAUUACGUCCCACAGUAUGAUUUCAUUCAAAUGUAUGACACCACCAAAACAAACCAC